GACGAACGCUGGCGGCGUGCUUAACACAUGCAAGGCGAACGGAAAGGCCCUGCUUUUGUGGGGUGCUCGAGUGGCGAACGGGUGAGUAACACGUGCGUAACCUGCCCUGGGCUUUGGGAUAACUUCAGGAAACUGGGGCUAAUACCGGAUAGGAGCUCCUGCUGCAUGGUGGGGGUUGGAAAGUUUCGGCGGUUGGGGAUGGACUCGCGGCUUAUCAGCUUGUUGGUUGGGUAGUGGCUUACCAAGGCUUUGACGGGUAGCCGGCCUGAGAGGGUGACCGGCCACAUUGGGACUGAGAUACGGCCCAGCCUCCUACGGGAGGCAGCAGUGGGGAAUAUUGCCCAAUGGGCGGAAGCCUGAUGCAGCAACGCCGCGUGCGGGAUGACGGCCUUCGGGUUGUAAACCGCUUUCGCAUGUGACGAAGCGUGACUGACGGUAAUGGGUAAAGAAGCACCGGCUAACUACGUG
rnacentral:rRNA from 1 species